ensembl:rRNA 5S_rRNA 5S ribosomal RNA
GAUUGUAGUAAAAGCGCCCUGCAGCCCAAGGCUGGUCUCCCACUGAAGCUAAGCAGGGUCGAGUCUGGUCAGUACCUUGAUGGGAGACCGCCUGAGAAAACUAGGUUGCUGCUAGAA